UGCCAGACAGUGGGGGACUUUGAGUUGCAGAUUAUUGCAGACUAAGCAGUCUGGCUCUGCAGCAGCAGCACAAACCGAGGCGCUGGGAAGCCGGCCAGCCAGCCUCAGAAUUAGCUCAUUAAUACACCGGCACUGAGGAGAGGCGGGCUGCUGAGCCCUCUCCUCAGUGCUUCACCGCUUCUUCCUAGAAGUCCCAGCAUGCAGCCCGUGCGGCCACCUCGCUGCUAACUAUGUAGAAGUGAGGACUGAGCUGAGCCGUCUGCCUAUUGUUCUUCUUGUGGUAAUGGCCACGAUGCCACCUCCACACCGCUGCCAGGUUGUCAGCGUGAUAUACCAUCCGCAUUUAGCAAUCUGUGGCACUGGUGACCCAUGUGAAACCAUACUGAUAGAUGGAAGAUUUCCCAAUGGGAUCCUCCAUCUACCCAGAAUGGUCAACCACAAGGAGAACAAUGAGGCAGACGGACUCCUGGCUCCAGAAAAUGGUUGCAGACAUCACGUCACUGAAAUUAAUUACCUCUUCCUUUUUUAAUUGUAUCUCUUCCAUGUGUAGUGCAUUUGGUUUUUGAUUGUUGACACACCCAUGAUGUCAUAUAUUGGGAACUGUGUAUAUCAUCAAGUGUAAGCAUAUAUGGGACUCUGAGCCUUGCUUUAGAGAAUUACCACGGACAAAGUUGUACCAUAACUCAAUUUUUUACAGUCUAGGUCGGGUGAAGCUCUUCACACUGUGAAUCCAUGUUUACACCCAUUACAGGUGGGCCUUGUGGCCUGUUUCUACCACAGCAAUGUCUUCCUCUUCUCAAGCUCCUCUGUUCACAAUAAGCCGUUAACUUACAGCCUUCACUUUCAGUACCAGUUUGAUGCUUUUUUUGCGCCUGUUGAUUACUCGCAGUCGUGGCAGCCAUUUAGCGAGCUGAAGUAAUAUUAGUAACCUAUGAAUUUACUAAGAACUAUGUAAUGUACAUGUUGUCAGGUACUCGAUACCUCCAUGUUAGUCUGUAGUAAAGUGAUAGGCCGUAUUCUCAUGAAAACUAGUUGAGCUCAAGAAAUGUCUGCCACCAGUGUGUGUAAGUGACGGAUGCAGUUUGACACUUAACUAUCCUCUUUGAGGCUAAGAGUCCCCUUAUAUCAUGUAUUCCUUUCACCUAGAUGUAGCAUACUCGCUUCCUUUCUUUUCAUCCAUUGUCUGUAUAUCUCUAUUUUAUCCAUGUACACUUUUAAUGUAUAGAAAUAGUUGUUUGAAACACAUUGUUUCCUUGUGGUAAGUGACAGAGAAGCUGCCACAGGAUCUGAGACACUGAUGAAUGGUGCUAUUUUGGACUUUUAAACAUGCUCCUUGGUAAGGUAGCUCUGAUGGGAGUUUUUAUUUUCAUGUUCUAAGAAGGUGUUGGUAUUUUUUCCUGAUUGUUGUUCUAUAGGCGGAACUGACUCUUUCUUGUCUUCAGUGUAGUUUUAAUAGGGCAAAUAACUGCUAAGCGGGCGAGUCAGGCAAGUAAUUUUUUUCUCUACUUUUUCUUUUUUUUUUUUUUUUUACAAUUCAGGGUAGAUUCACCAACAUACAGCUAUUCUAGUGGGAGCAAUCACAAAACUGUAAUUUACUAAUCUCGAUAAUCCAAACCCCCUGUCCCUACAUUUGAAAAAAAUA